rnacentral:rRNA from 1 species
UACGUAGGGUGCGAGCGUUAAUCGGAAUUACUGGGCGUAAAGCGUGCGCAGGCGGUUCGUCAAGUCUGAUGUGAAAGCCCCCGGGCUCAACCUGGGAAUGGCAUUGGAAACUAGCGGGCUUGAGUGUGGCAGAGGGGGGUGGAAUUCCACGUGUAGCAGUGAAAUGCGUAGAGAUGUGGAGGAACACCGAUGGCGAAGGCAGCCCCCCUGGGCUAACACUGACGCUCAUGCACGAAAGCGUGGGGAGCAAACAGG